rnacentral:rRNA from 1 species
UACGGAGGGUGCGAGCGUUGUCCGGAAUCACUGGGCGUAAAGGGCUCGUAGGUGGCCAACUAAGUCAGACGUGAAAUCCCUCGGCUUAACCGGGGAACUGCGUCUGAUACUGGAUGGCUUGAGUUCGGGAGAGGGAUGCGGAAUUCCAGGUGUAGCGGUGAAAUGCGUAGAUAUCUGGAGGAACACCGGGUGGCGAAGGCGGCAUCCUGGACCGACACUGACGCUGAGGAGCGAAAGCCAGGGGAGCAAAGCGGG